AUAAAUCCAAUGAGGGGAGCAAGUAGGCUUAAAAAGGAGCUUACAGAGAGCCGCUGCUGGUGGAAAUGCGGUAGCAUCCCUUAAGCCGAAUGGGUCCCUAAGGAGCAUGGUGAAUCAAGUAGCCAGAGCCGUUUGCCUUACGUUAUAAAGGCUUUUACAACGAGGGGAAUAUAUUUCCUGAAAAUAGGUGGCACCGCGCACCAUGCGCCCUAUAC
rnacentral:ncRNA from 1 species